rnacentral:lncRNA from 1 species
CCCGCCCUCCCCCAUCCCCCACCGUGGGCUCUCGUGGGGAGGAGUUGGAGGGGAGCGGGGAGCGGAGGCCUGGAGAGGCCGGCUGGACAGAGGAUGAAGGACAAAGCGCCCAGAGGCAGUGAGACGUCGGGCUGAGGUUCCUCCUCCCCAGCCCCCAGCCCCAGGAGCCCAGGCCUUCCCAUCUCUGUGGAUCUCCCUCUUGGCUGACAGACAGCCAUCCCGGGAGGCAAGGUCAGGGAGCGAGUGGGUGAGCACAGAAGAUUCCUUUCCUGCCAACAGGUCAACAUGGCAUCCGGCGUUUGAGGGACUCUGUGCCAAAGCCAGGAGUGCUCUCCUGGGUCAAGGCCACGGCUCUCCCCUCACCCUUCCGGGAGGCGGGCAGAGCUCCCCCGAGCCUCUGGGCCCAGCUGCCCUCAGACGAGCUGAUACAGGAAGGAACAGUGGAAGGUGACCCGUCGCCGCAGGUGAACCCCAGCCUAGGGCCCUGCUCCAAGACCUGCAGAGCUCCUCGUGCGCAGUUUCGGGGCACACAGAUGUACCGGCUUUGUUUCCGACAUCCGGUCACAGUCGCGAGGACAGCUCUCCAGGAAGAUGUGUUUCGUGAGCUGGGUCCUCACCUGCCUGCCUUUGUCUCCUGGGCAGCGGCAGGUGGACAGUGCCAACUCUGGAGACACGUUUGGGGCCCAGCACAGGGGCGGUGUGGGGGCAAUGGGAACUGGGCAUGAGGAAAACCCCAGAGCAAGGCCCCAGGAGAAGACCUGCGAGCGUGUGCAGUUUCUAGCCAAGCAGGGCUGUCACACGCCUCAGAUCGCACCCUGAGUGUCACGGUGUCAAGAAAGCAGCUCUGGGGGCGCCGGGGUGGCUCAGUGGGUUAAGCCUCUGCCUUCGGCUCAGAUCAUGGUCCCAAGGUCCUGGGAUCGAGCCCUGCAUUGGGCUCUCUGCUCGGCAGGGAACCUGCUUCCCCCCCGCCCACCUCUCUGCCUGCCUCUCUGCCUACCUACGAUGUCUGUCAAAUAAAUAAACAAAAUCUUAAAAAAAAAAAAAAAGCAGCUCUGGAUGUUGUCAGACAUUUCAUAAUCAGUGGCCAGCCCCCUGCUGCAAGUCAGGAAGCCCUCUCGCCCGA